ensembl:lncRNA
GAAGACUCUUAGCUGUACACUUUGAAUGAUUCCCUGCUCACCUGCUGCACUCUGUCAACAAGCAAGGAAAAUUUUAGGGCAGAAGCCUGGGAUGCAGCCAGGUUCAGAAACCUCUCGCUGGGCCUUGUGGUGAAUCCAUGCUCACACAUGGGCUGCCUGCCAAACAUUAACUAAAAUACUCACGCUUGUUUUCGACAACGGUCCUCAGGUUAAAUUUCACCAAGUGCUAUUUUGGGUGAGACGCUAUGGUAGAAAUGUCUCCAGAUUCCGGGUGGCUGUAAUGCCUCUGCAAAGCCACCUUUCAGCAUGUCCCAUUUGCUGUGCUUUCAAGUACUCAACUGUGUUGGUGCCUUUACAAGAUUCAGCCCCAAAGGCUUGUGCAGUAGAAGCCGCUUCAUGCUCUCUCUUGUGUCCUCUGAAAUGAUCAUCAUUCUUCAAGUGCUACCAUACUUUCUGAAAUGUUCUCCGAGGUAUACACCCAGAAUAAAUGUGGUGCCUGUUUUCUAGAAGACGUGUAAAAAUGUUCACACUGGUAAUAAUUCAAACUGGAGAUAAUAUGUAUAUUCAUCUACAGCAGAAUGGAUAAAUUGUGGUUAUUUAUUUUAUCCAUCUAACAAUAUAUUUCAGAUUUCAACAAAAGUGAAUGAACUACCGUUAAAUGCAACAACGUGGGUGGACAUCAAAACAUGAUACUGAAGACAGACACAGAAGAUACACACCUUUUGAUUGCAUUUACCUGAACUUUGAAAACAGUAAAAACAAAAUUAUUGGGUUCUAAGUCAAAAUAGUAGUUAGACCUGGUGGGGAAGGCAGGGAGUAGGAGUUGGGAGAGGCCAUAACAGGAAGAGGGGAGGAACUCUGGAGUCCUGGCAUCUUAUGUUUUUUUCAAUGGUGGUUACCCCAGUGAUCGCUUUGUGACAACUAAUCUGUGCAUUUACAUGUCAUGCACUUUUCUGUAUGUGAGAAUACUUUGCAAUAAAAAAUGCUUUCAAAAUAUCCAGUGGAAUUAGGAUAAAUCUGAGAGGCAAAGCUAUUAAAUUUUUAGAAUCAAUAUAAUAGAAUUUCUUUCUGACCAUAAGAUAGGAAGAGUUUUAAUGUAGAACACUCAAAAUACCACAAAGAAAAUUGUUUGAUAAAUAUCAAAAAGUUUUACAUUAAACUUUAGAACUAUUUUCCACUACAAGAUGUCAUAAAGUAAAAAGAUAAGCCAUAGACCUGACAAAUAUAUUUGUAACACAUAUAACUAAAAAAUGAUUAUAUAAUUUAUAAAUAAGAAAACAGACAAACAUGCCAACCUAAAAAUGAACAAAAGACAUGAGCAGGUAAUUUACAGAAGAACACAUGAAUGGCUAAUAAUUAUAUCUGAAGCUAUUCAGCCUCAUUAAUAAUUAGAAAAUGCAAAUUAAAACUGGCUGAGUUGGCCAGAACUAUAAAAUAUGACAAUUCCAAUUGCUGGUAGGGUACGGAACAACAGGAACUCAUACACUGUUGAAUAAUAAAUUGGUAUAAUCAGUCCAAUGGACAUUUUUGCAUUCCCUGAUCAAUAUUUGCAUGUGCUACAUGGUCAGCAAUUCUACUUUUGGAGAUAUUCCUCAGGAAACUUCAAUUGAGAUCAUGUACAAAAAAAUCCGUGUUAGUAUUGCUUAUACUAGUAAAAUACUGGAAAUAAUGUGUACGUCCAUCAAGAGACGAAUAAGUACUAAAUUAUGUUUCUCCAUACAAUAAGCACAUUUUGCAGCCGUGAAGUUUAAAGGAUGCGAUGCAUCAGUGUGGAUGAAUUCUCAGAAACACAUCACGCAACAAUGAUAAGUCAGUCACAAAAGAAUACGUAGAAUGCUUCCAUUAAAUGAAGCUUACAUAAGAGGUAAGACUAAUUUAAUAGUUGGGGAUGCAUACCUUUGUGAUAACAAUAUAAAGAAAAG